UGAGGAAAACCACCAAGACACCCAUGACAACUCUGUAGUAGUUCGGCUUCUGUGGUUGUGAUUGCGGAAACUGGGCACAGUGCAGCUUUUCUUGUGUGUUGCA